rnacentral:rRNA from 1 species
GAUGAACGCUGGCGGCGUGCCUAAUACAUGCAAGUCGAGCGAACGGACGAGAAGCUUGCUUUUCUGAUGUUAGCGGCGGACGGGUGAGUAACACGUGGAUAACCUACCUAUAAGACUGGGAUAACUUCGGGAAACCGGAGCUAAUACCGGAUAAUAUUUUGAACCGCAUGGUUCAAAAGUGAAAGACGGUCUUGCUGUCACUUAUAGAUGGAUCCGCGCUGCAUUAGCUAGUUGGUAAGGUAACGGCUUACCAAGGCAACGAUGCAUAGCCGACCUGAGAGGGUGAUCGGCCACACUGGAACUGAGACACGGUCCAGACUCCUACGGGAGGCAGCAGCAGGGAAUCUUCCGCAAAGGGCGAAAGCCUGACGGAGCAACGCCGCGUGAGUGAUGAAGGUCUUCGGAUCGUAAAACUCUGUUAUUAGGGAAGAACAUAUGUGUAAGUAACUGUGCACAUCUUGACGGUACCUAAUCAGAAAGCCACGGCUAACUACGUG